rnacentral:rRNA from 1 species
GUCGUCAGCUCGUGUCGUGAGAUGGUUGGGUUAACGUACCCGUAACGAGCGCAACCCUUCGUCCUUAGUUACCAGCACGUUAUGGUGGGCACUCUAAGGAGACUGCCGGUGACAAACCGGAGGAAGGUGGGGAUGACGUCAAGUCAUCAUGGCCCUUACGGCCUGGGCUACACACGUGCUACAAUGGUCGGUACAAAGGGUUGCCAAGCCGCGAGGUGGAGCUAAUCCCAUAAAACCGAUCGUAGUCCGGAUCGCAGUCUGCAACUCGACUGCGUGAAGUCGGAAUCGCUAGUAAUCGUGAAUCAGAAUGUCACGGUGAAUACGUUCCCGGGCCUU